AGUGCGGUCUAAUGAAGAAAGAACUGGCAGCUCUGCAGCACACACUGGGGAAUAAGAGUCGACGACUUAAGGAAGCAAUGAGGCAGC